UGUGAGGGUUGCUGGAGGUAUCAGAAGUGCGAAUGCUGACAUAAGUAACGAUAAAGCGGGUGAAAAGCCCGCUCGCCGGAAGACCAAGGGUUCCUGUCCAACGUUAAUCGGGGCAGGGUGAGUCGACCCCUAAGGCGAGGCCGAAAGGCGUAGUCGAUGGGAAACGGGUUAAUAUUCCCGUACUUGGUGUUACUGCGAAGGGGGGACGGAGAAGGCUAUGUUGGCCGGGCGACGGUUGUCCCGGUUUAAGCGUGUAGGUGUGUGUUCCAGGUAAAUCCGGUUCACUUUAACACUGAGGCGUGACGACGAGGCACUACGGUGCUGAAGCAACAAAUGCCCUGCUUCCAGGAAAAGCCUCUAAGCAUCAGGUAACAUCAAAUCGUACCCCAAACCGACACAGGUGGUCAGGUAGAGAAUACCAAGGCGCUUGAGAGAACUCGGGUGAAGGAACUAGGCAAAAUGGUGCCGUAACUUCGGGAGAAGGCACGCUGACACGUAGGUGAAGUGAUUUACUCAUGGAGCUGAAGUCAGUCGAAGAUACCAGCUGGCUGCAACUGUUUAUUAAAAACACAGCACUGUGCAAACACGAAAGUGGACGUAUACGGUGUGACGCCUGCCCGGUGCCGGAAGGUUAAUUGAUGGGGUCAGCGCAAGCGAAGCUCCUGAUCGAAGCCCCGGUAAACGGCGGCCGUAACUAUAACGGUCCUAAGGUAGCGAAAUUCCUUGUCGGGUAAGUUCCGACCUGCACGAAUGGCGUAAUGAUGGCCAGGCUGUCUCCACCCGAGACUCAGUGAAAUUGAACUCGCUGUGAAGAUGCAGUGUACCCGCGGCAAGACGGAAAGACCCCGUGAACCUUUACUAUAGCUUGACACUGAACAUUGAGCCUUGAUGUGUAGGAUAGGUGGGAGGCUUUGAAGUGUGGACGCCAGUCUGCAUGGAGCCGACCUUGAAAUACCACCCUUUAAUGUUUGAUGUUCUAACGUGGACCCGUUACCCGGGUUGCGGACAGUGUCUGGUGGGUAGUUUGACUGGGGCGGUCUCCUCCUAAAGAGUAACGGAGGAGCACGAAGGUUGGCUAAUCCUGGUCGGACAUCAGGAGGUUAGUGCAAUGGCAUAAGCCAGCUUGACUGCGAGCGUGACGGCGCGAGCAGGUGCGAAAGCAGGUCAUAGUGAUCCGGUGGUUCUGAAUGGAAGGGCCAUCGCUCAACGGAUAAAAGGUACUCCGGGGAUAACAGGCUGAUACCGCCCAAGAGUUCAUAUCGACGGCGGUGUUUGGCACCUCGAUGUCGGCUCAUCACAUCCUGGGGCUGAAGUAGGUCCCAAGGGUAUGGCUGUUCGCCAUUUAAAGUGGUACGCGAGCUGGGUUUAGAACGUCGUGAGACAGUUCGGUCCCUAUCUGCCGUGGGCGCUGGAGAACUGAGGGGGGCUGCUCCUAGUACGAGAGGACCGGAGUGGACGCAUCACUGGUGUUCGGGUUGUCAUGCCAAUGGCACUGCCCGGUAGCUAAAUGCGGAAGAGAUAAGUGCUGAAAGCAUCUAAGCACGAAACUUGCCCCGAGAUGAGUUCUCCCUGAGACUUAGAGUCUCCUGAAGGAACGUUGAAGACGACGACGUUGAUAGGCCGGGUGUGUAAGCGCAGCGAUGCGUUGAGCUAACCGGUACUAAUGAACCGUGAGGCUUAACCUUACAACGCCGAAG
rnacentral:rRNA from 1 species